rnacentral:rRNA from 1 species
GACAGAGGGUGCAAACGUUGUUCGGAAUUACUGGGCAUAAAGAGCACGUAGGUGGUGCGCUAAGUCACGUGUGAAAUCCCCCGGCUCAACCGGGGAAUGGCGCGUGAUGACUGGCGGACUCGAGGCGGGUAGGGGUGAGCGGAACUCCGAGGUGGAGCGGUGAAAUGCGUAGAUAUCUGGAAGGAACACCGGUGGCGAAAGCGGCUCACUGGACCUGAUCUGACACUGAGGUGCGAAAGCUAGGGUAGCAACGGG